AUGAUGGACUAUAGGACAGGACUGCUGCUUUUUACUGUCUGCUGGGCAGGUGUUGAUGGUCAGACUCUGACAGAAUCUGAAGCAGUGGUUAAAAGGCCUGGAGAAUCCCACAGACUGACCUGUUCAGCCUCUGGAUUCACAUUCAGCAGCUACUGGAUGGCUUGGGUCAGACAGGCUCCUGGAAAAGGACUGGAGUGGAUCGCUACUAUUACUAAUGGUGGUAGCAGCCAAUACUACUCUAAUUCAGUCAAAGGCCGGUUCACCAUCUCCAGAGACGACAGCAGACAGCAGCUGUAUCUGCAGAUGAACAGUCUGAAGACUGAAGACACUGCAGUGUAUUACUGUGCGCGCCUCACGGCAGCGACGCGCAUCAUUUGCGCAAUUGCAGAGAAUGCGUCCCCUUGCGCAAAAUGGGGCCCCCCGUGGACCGUGGGGCCCUACACACAGCGCGUGUUCUGCGUGUAG